UUCAAGUCCGGUAGUAUAUAUAACCAGGAACCAGCUAGCUUUAGCAUCAUUAGUCCUCAUUUGUACUUACAUUUAAACCUGUUAGGUUUUAGUUAUUUUUGAUAAUAUCAAACCAAACGUAUUUUGAAAUCAUGAAGCCGAUCAUUGCUCUUUUCUUCGUUCUAGCAGCUCUCUGUGCAUCCGUCAAUUUCGUAGAAUGUACAAUUUGCGCCAUAGAUGCUCGUUCUAAUAAGCCCCAAAACUUUGAUAACCGUGAUGCGUUGGAUGCUGCGAACAAAGCAGGCGGAGAAUAUGUUUUCCAGCACAAUGGAGCUUGCUAGAGAUGGUUAGAAACACCCCACUAGGCUGUCAUAUGUUGUGCCAAUCAGCAAAUUGAAAAAAAUAGAAAUUAAAACUGUAACCGUCGAUAGAAACAUUGCACCAUGUAAAACUAGAAUUAUAAUGCACUUAAUCCUUCAAUGGAUCCGUAUUUAUUCAAUUUUCAAUACUGUUCUCACGCCAGGAAGGUUAAUUUUCCAACAAUGAAUGGAUUUUGGGAAAUGACGGAAAUUUUCUAGAAUGCCUUCUCUCCCUGAAGGGGACAGAGCUGAAAACUUGUAAAAAGUACAAGGGGUAUACAUUUUCAUGGUAAAAUUCACCAAGCAAUCGAUGUGAGAGGGGGGAGGAUUGCCUUCAGGAUUUAAAAAAAACUGAGGAAUAUCGUGUGACACAUCGUUUUAUACGUUUUCAAAGGUGCUGAAUACGAAUAUCAACUCAUUUUUUGAUUUAACCUCUGUAACACCCCCUCCCUUCCUCUUCAGAUCCUAACUUUUCUAAAAAUUGAAAAAAUCUCGCGAAAUUGUAUAAGUGCAACGUGCUGCAACUUGGACUUUCAUUGUUUCACAAAAUUUUCUAAUGACUCUGGAACUUAUAUGAAAAUAGGAAAAGACUGACCACAAUCAGUUCUUCAAGAAUUUAUGGCAAAAAGUGUGAACCUUCAAUCUUAUAAUACAUAUAAAGAUUUCUUAAAAUCUAUGGACUAUCUGAAGAACAAUAAAGCUCCUGAAUGUGACAACAUCCCCGCCAAAGUCUUGAAAACUGGAAAUAUUGAAGUCAUCCAAAAAAUUCAUCUCUUCUGAAAUAACAUGUGGCAAACCUGGAGUGGCCAAAUAAUUGGACCCAGUCAACAUACAUCACUGUGUACAAAAAUAGUUUGCCAGAGAGCUGUGAGAAUUAUCGCACCAUAUUACUGAUCGCACACACUAACAAGGUGCAUCUAAAGAUUAUGUAUGACUGUUUGUAUCCACACAUGCAGUCUCAAAUACCUCAAGAAUAUGCAGAAUUUAUCAAAGGAAGGCGCACAAAACAGCAAAUCCUCAACCUCAGAAUGCUCAUUGAGAAAAUCUUAUGAGUUCUAGGUAUGUUUGUGCAGUGUUAUGCUUUGUGGACUACAAAAAAGCAUUCGAUUGUGUUCAGUGGCAGAAGUUGUGAUGAAUCCUGCUGGAGAUAGGUGCUCCAAAGCAUCUAGUGUGGCUGAUCAAACACCUGUAUGAGAAGGGAUCAGGCGAUGUCUGGGUCAACAAGAGAACAUCAGGAAAAUUUCAUCCAGCAAAAGGAGUGUGCCAACGUUGCAUAUUGUCUCCUAUUCUAUUCCACAUCUAUGAAGAAUACAUCAUUGGGAAAACGCUGCAAAAGAUCAUAGAUGACCUAGAUGUAGCUGAUGAAUGGCAAGGAGGUGUCUUGAUAGGUGGUAGAUGGAUCACCAACCUCCAGUAUGCUAAUGACACAACUUUGGUGGUCUCAAGUGUGGAGUACAUGUCUGUGCUGCUCAAGUGCCUAGAAGAAGUUGGUGCAAUAUACAGCUUACAGAUCAACAGGAGCAGGACAAAAACAAAAUAUGAUAAUUGAGAGACCAUACCAACAACUCACCAAAGAUCCAGGAAACUAACAGAAUUAAAGUCGUAAAGCAAUUGUCCUACCUUAGGUCCAUCAUUGAGAACAACAGCUGAUAUGAAGCUGAGGUACAUCACCACCACCAGCUCACUAGAGCUGCAAUGACUCCAUUGAGAAGAAUAUGUGUAUGCAGGGAUUCAGCAAUAAGUAUGACCCUUACAAUUUGACUAGUGAACACAUUGGUCUUUUCACAUCACUGUUCCAGUGUUUCUGUACACAUUAGAAACAUGAACUAUUCACAAAAGUGAUUGGCAUUGGAUCAACAUAAGUAAUGGAAAUGUGAAGCUGGAGCUGGCUGCUGGGAGUCCUGUGGACACCAAAAAGAACUAAUGCAUCAACGCUGAGAAAAAUUGGUGUGACCAAACGACUAUCUACAGUGCUCUUUAGUUAGAUACUCAAAUACUUCAGACGGGUCACAAGAGCGGAUGCAAUGGAGACAAUAUUUGGGUAAGGCAAAGUGGAAGGAGCCAGAGUAAGAGGACAAUCAUCAAACUGGGGGACUGACUCCAUUUGCAAAGCAAUGGGCCCCAGCCUUGGCGAAUUCUUGAGAAGCGCACAGGACAAGGGACAAUGUCAAGCUCUUACCCGAAGGAUUAUGUAACUCCCUGCAUGGGAUGAUACAUCAUAAAUUCAUAAUGAUGAAGAUGAUUGUGAUGUAACAAUGAAGCAACUUUGAGUAAUUUCAUGAUGCAAAAAGGGACAUCUGUUAUGAUUUGGAUAUCAAGAAAUCAUUAUGAAUUAAAAAGGUAUGAAAAAUUAAUUCAUGUUUUGAUUGAAAUGUCAUCUCAGAAAUGGGUACCUAUUUUAAAUAUUUAUUGAACAUUGCCAGAAAUAAUAUUACCAAGUCGGAAUGCAGAAAUGCAAUUCAUGUUUGAAAAGGUCAAGGCAACAAUGAUUUUUUUCCUGAAAAUUUUCACAGAUAGUGCCUCCAAUGACUGAUUUUGAAAGCUAUAAUUACACAAACAAUUUAUUUUACAAAUAUGUACCUAGGUACCUUAUACUAGAAUUCAAUGUUUUGGAAAUGAACAGUUGUCAUUUUUUCAAUGCAUGAAAAUUACUUUUUAGAAUUUUUUCCUAAUUACCUAUAUUUUUCUAGGUAUUGCUUUAUCAUCUGUGAUAAACAUGUCAAAAUUAAGGUGAUAGUUUUAAAAUUAUUUCAAGUUUAAUAGUAUAAUGUACAUACAACACGGGACUAGCUAGCUUUAGCAUCAUUAGUCCUCACUUUAUUGUACAUUUAAACCUGUUUGGUUUUAGUUAUUUUUUAUAAUAUCAAACAAAUCAUGAAGCCGAUCGUUGUUCUUUUCUUUGUUCUAGCGGUUCUCUGCCUCGCUGUCAAUUUCGUAGAAUGUGAGAUUUGCGCCAUAGAUUCCGAUACGGGUCAACCCCAGAACUUCCCUAACCGUCCUGCGAUGAAUGAGUCAAACCAAGCAGGCAAACAUUAUGUUUUCCAGCACAAUGGACCUUGCAGGUCAGAAAAACCAUACUAGGUUGUCUUGUUGCGCCAAUCAGCAAAUGAAAAAAAAAACAGAUCAGAAAACUGGCACAAUGAAUGGAAACUUUGCACUAUGUAAAAUUAAAAUAAUAAUGCACUCAAUUCUUCAACUAAAA